UAUUACGCGGUCAUCAUAUUUGACGCCGCAAUAUAAAAGCGACUAGUGAUCACUAUUAACAGUGAGUGUAGAAUCGAGUUAUAACCAAGGAAGAGAUCGUCAAAUCAACUACAUAAUCCGCUGAAUAUAACCCUGAAGCCACAAUGAACAGCACGAGGAUAUUAUUGAUUGUUUUCGUCAUUUCGUCCAUGAUCAUUGUCCAAUGUUUGGCCGGUUUGCCAUGUUUUGAUCACUGGGAGGAGGUAUGUGGAAGGUUGCCAGGAAUAAAAAGAGCACUAGCAGAUCCUUCGAUGAAUUCAGAUGUGAAACGAAGUAACUAUCUACGAGGCGCAGUGAACUGGGCCAAGUGGUAUAGGAAUGGACUACCUGAUCGAUUGCUACAACAGUUCAACGAACUACCCACAGAUGACGAAUGACUUGUACAAAGAUUGCUAAUGCACAUGCUGAUACAGAGCUGACGUCCACCACAUACUCGUGAAUUUUCCACAUUUUUUGUAACAUAAAUCGAAAAAGAUAUCGCUAUUAAAUACACGAUGCACGUCACAGUGUUAACGUGAACAUAAACUGAAUCUUACUUUAUGUGAUGUAAUAUACACAUAUGUGAGGCACGUUUUAUCUAACAUUAACAAACGACACGACAAUACAUCGAUAAUAGACACCAGAUGAAUGUGAGCUGGAGUAACACUGUGGUGAGAACUCACGCUAGUCAAACUUGAUUCGUUGUAUUGUUUAUUAAAUAUAAUUAAUUACUAA